rnacentral:lncRNA from 1 species
AUCCGAGCUUCUACAGUAAGCGGCCUCCUUCCAGACUUCUGAAAGAAUAGGACUCCAUUCGAACUUCUACAGCGAAUGGAUUCCAGACGAACUUCUACAACGGACAGGCUCCAGCAGUCGAAUUUUUACAGUGACCAACUGUCUCCGGUGUCAUCCAUACCUCUCCAGCCAUCAACCUUCAACAGUGCCAACAGGACUUCAACAGUGCCAACCAGACCUCUCCAAUGGAUAAAUUUCCUUCGGACCCCUCCAGCGGUCGACCUUCCACAGUGUCCUCCAGACUCCUCCAGCGGAUGAUCUUUCACAAUGCCUUCUGAAUUCCUCUAUCAGUCGACCUUUUGUCGGAUUCCUCAUGCAACCGGACCUCUCCAGUGGACAGUCUUCAGACAAGCUUCUACAUCAGACAAAUUCCAGAUGGACUUCUCUAGCAAUCGAACUCCAGUCGGAUUUCUCCAA